rnacentral:rRNA from 1 species
ACUCAAAUGAAUAGACGGGGGCCCGCACAAGCGGUGGAUCAUGUGGUUUAAUUCGAAGCAACGCGAAGAACCUUACCUGGGUUUGACAUCUCCGGACAAACGUAGAGAUACGUCUUUUGUAGCAAUACAACCGGAUGACAGGUGCUGCAUGGCUGUCGUCAGCUCGUGUGGUGACAUGUUGGGUUAAGUCCCGCAACGAGCGCAACCCUUGUCUUUAGUUGCCAGCAUUAAGUUGGGCUCUCUAAAGAGACUGCCGUGGUUAACACGGAGGAAGGUGGGGAUGACGUCAAGUCCUCAUGGCCUUUAUAUCCAGGGCGACACACGUGAUACAAUGGACGGUACAGAGGGAAGCCAAACCGCGAGGUGGAGCCAAUCUCAAAAAGCCGUUCUCAGUUCGGAUUGGAGUCUGCAAUUCGACUCCAUGAAGUUGGAAUCGCUAGUAAUCGCGGAUCAGCACGCCGCGGUGAAUACGUUCCCGGGCCUUGUACACACCGCCCGU